rnacentral:rRNA from 1 species
AGCAGCCGCGGUAAUUCCAGCUCCAAUAGCGUAUAUUAAAGUUGUUGCAGUUAAAAAGCUCGUAGUUGAAUUUCGGGAUCAAUUUGCUGGUCGUGCCUCUGGUACGUACUGGUAUUAUUGGUUUCUCCCUUCUGACGAACCAUGAUGUCAUUAAUUUGAUGUCGUGGAGAAUCAGGACUGUUACUUUGAAAAAAUUAGAGUGUUUAAAGCAGGCAUUAGCUUGAAUACAUUAGCAUGGAAUAAUGAAAUAGGACGUUUGAUCCUAUUUUGUUGGUUUCUAGGAUUGACGUAAUGAUUAAUAGGGAUAGUUGGGGGCAUUAGUAUUCAAUUGUCAGAGGUGAAAUUCUUGGAUUUAUUGAAGACUAACUACUGCGAAAGCAUUUGCCAAGGAUGUUUUCAUUAAUCAAGAACGAAAGUUAGGGGAUCGAAGACGAUCAGAUACCGUCGUAGUCUUAACCAUAAACUAUGCCGACUAGGGAUCGGAUGAUGUUAAUUUUUUUAAUGACUCAUUCGGCGCCUU